rnacentral:rRNA from 1 species
UACGAAGGGGGGCUAGCGUUGCUCGGAAUGACUGGGCGUAAAGGGCGCGUAGGCGGAGUGCUUUGUCAGGCGUGAAAUUCCAGGGCUUAACCUUGGGGCUGCGUUUGAGACGGGCAUUCUUGAGUAUGGAAGAGGGUCGUGGAAUUCCCAGUGUAGAGGUGAAAUUCGUAGAUAUUGGGAAGAACACCGGGUGGCGAAGGCGGCGACCUGGUCCAUGACUGACGCUGAGGCGCGAAAGCGUGGGGAGCGAACAGG